rnacentral:pre_miRNA from 1 species
AUCACUUGGGGAUCUUGUUAAAAUUCAGAUUCUGAUUCAAGAGAUCUGAGGUAGAGUCUAGGAUUCUGCAUUUCUAUCAAGCUCUGAGGUGAUGCCGA